AACGAACGCUGGCGGCAGGCCUAACACAUGCAAGUCGAACGCCGUAGCAAUACGGAGUGGCAGACGGGUGAGUAACGCGUGGGAACCUACCUUACGGUCGGGAAUAGCUCAGGGAAACUUGGGGUAAUACCGGAUAAGCCCUUACGGGGAAAGAUUUAUCGCCGUUAGAUGGGCCCGCGUAGGAUUAGCUAGUUGGUGAGGUAAUGGCUCACCAAGGCGACGAUCCUUAGCUGGUCUGAGAGGAUGAUCAGCCACACUGGGACUGAGACACGGCCCAGACUCCUACGGGAGGCAGCAGUGGGGAAUAUUGGACAAUGGGCGCAAGCCUGAUCCAGCCAUGCCGCGUGAGUGACGAAGGCCUUAGGGUUGUAAAGCUCUUUUGGCGGGGAAGAUAAUGACGGUACCCGCAGAAUAAGCUCCGGCUAACUUCGUG
rnacentral:rRNA from 1 species